CUUGGGUGGAUACGAGGAACUUGGCUAUACGCAAAAUCAGCAAGGAUGGCGAAGUGACCACCAUUGCCGGAGGUAGAUUACAUUUUAUCUUUCAAAAAAGAGAAAAUGAAGGAAUUUAGGGCUUGUUGAUUUCA